AUAUUCUACUGAACUUAUAAAUUAAGGUUGUUUUAUCUUUAAGACCUCACCAAUUCCAUCCAGAACUGGGAUUUCUAGAGAUAGUAUUGAAGAGGAGGCUAGGAGACUGUCUCUAACGGCCAUACACAGUGCCUUCUCUGCGGCGGUAUCAGUGUCUGAGGGGGGAUGCAGGGCAAGUUUUAAGCCGAAGCGUAACAUCUUUAGAGGCCUGCUUUCCUGCUUUCGAGCUUGUUUUGGUCGUGCCAGGGAUUAAUUCAAAAUAACAGUAUUUUUUUUCUCAAGAACAACCUGGCCUUUGAGGUCAUUUUUUUUCUCAAGAAAACAAUUUGAUAAAUUAAAAAGAGAUCACGAUAGAGAUAUUAAAAAUAACAGUUAAUACAGCAAUUUUUUUUUCUCAAGAACAACUUGGCCUUUGGGGUUGUUUUUUUUUCUCAAGAAAACAAUUUGAUGAAUUGAAAAAAAAAAAUAUCAUCAUUGAUUGAUCCAGAGGAUAAGAUUUUUUAUAUUUUUUUUGAUAUAUCUUAUAUAGGGGUAGACGAAAUUUGCUCAGAGCA